rnacentral:rRNA from 1 species
AUUUGACUCAACACGGGAAAUCUUACCGGGUCCGGACGUAUCGAGGAUUGACAGAUAGUUAUACAUGCCCUACAAGCAAGUAGGAGUCAGGUUUUAAACCUAAUGGCUCUUUCAUGAUUAUAUGAUAGGUGGUGCAUGGCCGUUCUUAGUUCGUGGAGUGAUCUGUCUGCUUAAUUGCGUUUCAAAUUUUUAACCGAGGACCGGGUUUUGGUUUGGCUAGUGGUCCUACGAUGACUGUGAACUGUCAUGUCUUCGGAUGUACGACUAUCGGUCUAGGAUCACAUGACUUGCCCCUGGGACUCUUUUGAACGCAACGGACGUGAUUGCAACCCCUUGUUGAGAUUAGAGAUAGUCUCGAUAUUCACUGGCCAAACUGGCUGCUUUAUGCAGUCUUGUUGAAUGGUGGAUAAACUCGGGGGACUGCUGACUAUAACCAUUUCUCAAAACAGAGGAAGGUUGCGGCAAUAACAGGUCUG